AUAUAUAUAUAUAUAUAUAUCCAAUUUUAUUUAAUAUUUUAUAAGAAUUAUAAUUAUUUAUGCACGAUAAUAGCAUAAAUCUAAAAAAAAAAUUAAUUAAAUAAACGAAUUUUUAUUCCGAAUUUUUAAAUGAUAAACGUAAAAUUUUCGUAUAAAUUGCGUAUACGAAUUAUUGGCGAAUCUAAUUUUUAAACCGUAUUUUUCAACGAACUUAAAAAUUAAGAUACGAAUUUUAUUCGUAUUUUAUCCGUAUCGAAUUUUUAUCGUAUUCGAAUUAACUAACUAUGGUUUAAAGACAUGAGGUUUAAUUUAGGAAAGGUAAUAAUACAAAGAUGGAAUAUUGGAGGAUAAGAAUGAAGGAAGGUGGAAUAUUCUAAAUUUACAAAAAUGGCAUGUUAUGAGGAUGAAAAUUUACCAAAAUGCCCUCAUUGCAAACUCCAUGUAAUAAAAAAAAAAAAUUGCCCUUAUUAAAGUAGUGACCGGUAUCUAUACCCCCAAGUGCCGGUCACCCUCUUUUAAUAGGUCUAUCGUUAUCAUCCAUUUAAAGAAUUUUAAUGGUUGAGACUUGUUCGGUGCAUAGGAGGAGGAAUGCUUAGGAGUGAGAGAAAAGUUAGAGAAGAUAUUACACCAAUAGAAUUUAGUUUCUUUUUACAGAGGAAAACGAUGAUCAUUUGAAAUUUUUGGAGAGAUAUAUUUAUGAUGAUAAAAUUGACACUUCACUUAUCUUCUGUUAAAAAAAAAAAAAGCGAGCUAAUGGUAACAAACAAAAUGAGCAAAUAUAAAUAUUACUGAACUUUAGAAGGAAUAAAUAUGAAAAUUUGAACUUUGUAGGGACAUCUACUAUUUGAUAAGUUGACAGGGAGCUAUACGAAAUUAAUCUUUUUUUUUAUUGGAGAAAAUAUAUAACGACCUCUGAACUUUAUAAAAAUCUGAAUUUUCAAUUUUUACCAUUAUAUUUUUUUAAAAAAAUUUUAUUAGAUAGUUUAAAAUUUCUCUUCUUAUUUACACAAUUGUUUUAUUCUGAUGUCAUAUGCAUAAUUUUAUAAGAUUUCGAAAAUAUAAUUUGACCAUUAUAGUCGAAGAAUAAGUUAUAAAUCGAACUUUAAAUUUUAUCGCUUUUUUUACAUGUUAGAGUAUAAAAAAUACUUUCAAUAUUUUUUUCUAUACUGUGAAGCUUUAUAAAGCUAGAUGCGAUAUAUAUGAACAAAAUAAUUGUGUAAUUAAUAACUUUAAUGAAAGCGAGAGAUUUAUAGAACCAUUUGAUAAAAUUUAGGAGGCGGCCCAAUUGUUAAAAUUAAAAGUUUAUGUGUCUAUUUUGCAGAAGAGCUAAAGUUUAGUAGGUUUCUAUAUAUAAUCUUUUUUCUCUUUUUUUUCUUUUUUACACAAAAUAAAAUAUAACUGUAGAAAUUUUAAAUUUAAGACCUGGAUUAUUGUCGUUUUUCCCCGGGCAAAAUGCCUAAUAUUAAAUCUGAGCAAUAAUACACAAAAUAUUUGUAUGCAAAAAAUUAUGAUUUUUGGAAACUGGUCUAUAUUUAAAGUAUUUAAUUUUGUGUCUUUCUUGAAAAUUUAUAUAUCAUCGACUUUAAUAUCACCUGAUUUUUAAAAAACAAAAUUUUAAAAUUUUAAAAUUCUGAGUGGGCUUUUACAUAUUCUUGAUCACAUUCAACAUUUUAAAUCUUAAUUUUAAAAACUUAAUGUUUGAAUUUGUCAAUACUGAUCGGAUGAAGAGCAUUAUUAGACAUGAUUUAGUAUAUUUGAAUUAUUCUGAAAAUUAAAUUUUAUUAAUUUAAAAUUUAUUUUGAAUUGCAUCAGGCAGCAUCGAAAUAGGCAGUUCAAAUUAAAUUUGGAAUUUUUUGCAGGUUUUCUUCUAAGGUUUGACUUCUAUUGUCAUGUUUCAUAAUAUUUACAAGUUUGGGGAUGUUUCGUUCUUUGAAAAAAUAUAAAAAAAAAGUUUAAGAAUUUUUUUUGAUUUUUUUUUUUUUUAGUUUGUCCGGUUCUAAAAAACUAGCUUUUUUAAAAUUUUAUAGAAGCUAGCGUUUUCGCUUUCCUAAAAAAUUAGAAAACCGAAAUAUUAAUUUGUCAUAAAUUUUGAUUUUUUUUUUCAAAAAAACUAACUUUUUUUGAAACCACACGGAUAUAAUACAACAACUGAAAAAAUAAAAAAAACCUUCAAAUACCAUCUGUGGUUUCACAUUUCUCACUUUAGUAUCCUGUGGUUUAAAGUGUAUCAAUUUAGUACCCUGUGGUUUUAUUUUUAUCUUUUUAUUAUUUGAUCCACUAAUUUUUUUUUCGUUAAAUCAAUAACAAAGUUAAAUCUAAAAGAUACUAAAGUGAAUAUUCGAUAAAUCUAAAUGGAUAUCUGAAGUUUUUUAUAUAUAAUUUAACAAAAUAUUAACGGAGAAGUUGACGAAAAGAGAAAAAUGAAACCACAGUGUAUUAACUUGAUACACUUUAAACCACAGGGUAUUUAAGUGAGAAAGUGCGAAACCAUAUAGAUAAUAUUUGAAGUUUACCCAAAAAAAAAGUAGCUAGUUUUUUAUGAAAAUUUUUUUCUCAAGAUUCUUUUUUCUUCCUUUUCCGACGAACCAAACACUGCCAAAACUUCUAUGAGGAGCUCUCAAAUGACGCUAGAGGCCCCCUGAUCAGGGACGAAGAGGCCCCCUGAUCAGGGACGAAGGUAGGAUUUGAUUAUGACGUGGGCCAAAAUACAUGCAAAUCAAAAAUUUUAACAAAUAAAUAAGAUUUAUCUAAUCAAACUUUUGACGAGGAAAUAAAUAUUUUAUUUAUAUUAUUUCACUCAAAUAAUUUUGAAAUUUACUAAAUUUAAUAAUCAUUCAGUUAAUAAUUUAAUUUUUUAAUUUUUAGUAAAUACAAUUGUGAUAAUUGAUGACUAUUAGUUGACAGAGCUAUUAACUUUAAUAUAAUCUUUAAUUUAAUUAAAUAAAAAAAUUAUCGAAAAUAAUUAGAAGUCAUGAAGGUUUUAAAUAAAAAAUAAAAAUAAAUUCAGAGUUGAAAGAGCACUAUGUUAGUGCCAAAUUUUUUUAAAAAAAAUAGGUCAGUGAAUAUAUUUUUGCAAUUAAAUAAAAAUAUAUUAUUUAAAUUUUUUAUAUGUGAAGAACUAUUACGCAAAUUACGAAAAGUCUGAGGGGCCAGGCUCCUCUCAGCAUCAUGGCUCCGUCCCUGCCCCUUGAUCUACCGCCACGUAUUAAUUUUAAUUACAUCUAAUAAUUUAUUUACUAUUUUUUAAUAUUAAAAAUUAAAAAAUUUAAAACUUGCAAAAAAAAAUAAUUAUUGAAUAAAAAUAAAAAUGAUACUUGGUGACAGAUCAGAACGUCCAAGGAGGCUUUAUAUUCUCUCCCAUUGCACUUUCGUCUUCUUCCUCGCAAACUUUCUCUCCUCUCCGGCGGGGCCCUCUCCGGCCUAAGCUUUUUCCCAAGUUUGGCUGCGGGUUAGGCAUAAGGUAUUUGACGUUAUGCUGACUAUGAAAGGAGAGGAGUAGAAAUUUAGGGCGUAUUUGGUUCGCUUCUUUUUCAUCCUGAAAUCGGAAUCGAAAUGGAUGAAUCCAUUUGUGGGUGUUUGGUAUGCGGGAGUUCCAUUUCGAUUUCGAUUUUCAAGUGGAAUAAAAAUUUUCCAAUCAUCUUUUUGCUCAAUCCGGUCUAGGAGGCCGAAUUGGAAGUUGAAUUCGGACAGAAUGAAUAUUUAUUCGGAUUAAAUUUAUUUUUUCAACUUUUUUAAUUAAAAUAUGAGUUAAAAUUUAAAAAUUAAAUAUAUAAUUUUAAAUUUUUAAUUUGAACUUAAAUUAAAAAUUAAAAUUUAAUCAAGUAUUUCGAAUCUAACCUAU
rnacentral:lncRNA from 1 species